CCUACGGGAGGCAGCAGUGGGGGAUAUUGCACAAUGGGCGAAACCCUGAUGCAGCGACGCCGCGUGUGGGAAGACGGUCCUCUGGAUUGUAAACCACUGUCCCCAGGGACGACGAUGACGGUACCUGGGGCGGAAGCUCCGGCUAACUACGUGACAGCAGCCGCGGUAAUACGUAGGGAGCGAGCGUUGUCCGGAAUUACUGGGUGUAAAGGGAGCGUAGGCGGGGAUGCAAGUUGGGUGUCAAGACUACCGGCUCAACUGGUAGGCGCACUCAAAACUGCAGCUCUUGAGUGAAGUAGAGGCAGGCGGAAUGCCUAGUGUAGCGGUGAAAUGCGUAGAUAGUAGGAGGAACACCAGUGGCGAAGGCGGCCUGCUGGGCUUUUACUGACGCUGAGGCUCGAAAGUGUGGGGAGCAAACAGGAUUAGAUACCCGAGUAGUC
rnacentral:rRNA from 1 species